rnacentral:snRNA from 1 species
GUGCUCCUUCAGCAGCACAUAUACAGAGAAGAUUAGCAUAGCCCCUGCACAAGGAUGACACACAAAUUCGGGAAGUUUCCAUAUAUUU